CGCGGCCCGGGGCGCCGUUCUGUCCCGGCGCUCCGGGGGCGCCGGGGCGGCGGUGCAGCCGGCCGGCCGCGGC
rnacentral:tRNA from 1 species